CCUACGGGUGGCAGCAGUGGGGAAUAUUGGACAAUGGGCGAAAGCCUGAUCCAGCCAUGCCGCGUGUGUGAAGAAGGCCUUCGGGUUGUAAAGCACUUUCAGUGGGGAAGAAAGCCUUGGGGCUAAUACCCUCGAGGAAGGACAUCACCCACAGAAGAAGCACCGGCUAACUCCGUGCCAGCAGCCGCGGUAAUACGGAGGGUGCGAGCGUUAAUCGGAAUUACUGGGCGUAAAGCGCGCGUAGGCGGUCUGAUAAGCCGGUUGUGAAAGCCCCGGGCUCAACCUGGGAACGGCAUCCGGAACUGUCAGGCUUGAGUGCAGGAGAGGAAGGUAGAAUUCCCGGUGUAGCGGUGAAAUGCGUAGAGAUCGGGAGGAAUAUCAGUGGCGAAGGCGGCCUUCUGGACUGACACUGACGCUGAGGUGCGAAAGCGUGGGUAGCAAACAGGAUUAGAUACCCGAGUAGUC
rnacentral:rRNA from 1 species